ensembl:lncRNA rootletin-like
AGAAUAAGACAGUUGGAAGGUAUGAUUGACAUGCAAAAGAGACAAGUCAAGGAAAUUGAAGAAAAGUUCUUCUUCCUCUUUUUGUUUUUCUCUCUAGCUUUUAUUAUUGGGCCUUAAUGACACUGACACUGACCGACAUCAGGUAAUGGCACAGAGCUACGCAACCUCCCUACGCAACCUCCCUACGCAACCUCCCUAAUACUGUGUAAUAACAUUGAUGAUGACGCUGACGAUCGUUUGUCUGUUUCCUCAGGUGCUAAGGCGCUCAGGUGGAGAGUGAGGAAGAAACACACAUUUGUUUUUUUUAUGCGUUUUUUAGAUGGUUCACAAACCUUAUGUCUUUUUUGAUAAACAUGCACUUUUAACCUGGGAUGCAAAACAUAACAAAACCAUGACUUUGAAAAGUGAACAAAUACCAGAGACAUAUAAAGAGAGGUAUAUCAGUGUUUUUUUAUAGAAAGGAAGCCUCGCCUACCAUUUCUGGAAGUGGAACAAUUAGCCAAACUAACGUGAGUUCUAUAAAGCAUAAAGAUUGUGACUGGAACACUGAAGCUGGUCAAUAAGGACAACAUUGAUUGAGACAGUGCCUCAGAUGAAUUUAGAGACAGUGCCUCAGAUGAAUUUAGAGACAGUGCCUCAGAUGAAUUUAGAACCACACAACGAAAGAGUGCAAUUGGAGAGGAGGGAGAAAGAGGAGGAGAGGAAGAAGAAGGAGGAGGAAAGAUGGGGAGGGGGAAAGAAAGCAGGAGGCCUUUCUAACAGUCUAGCCAAGUCCUGGGCACUGGACAUUCCCGGAAAGCUCAGCGCCUGAGGGUCUCCAUGGAAACGGCCGUCACGGCCACGUUGAAAGGGUAAGAAGUGAAAGCUCUGAGUAGGUUCCGCAGUAGAGAGACACCAGAGGACUGAGGGAACGGGAGGAGUCUAGUCUGUGAAAGACAACAAAGAAUCUUCAGUAGGUUCUAGAGAGGUCACCCAUGAACAACAACCAUGGAGGGGAACAUGAUUACAACAGCGGGGACCGGAACCGGAGCUGACUCUGUAACCAUGGUAACAGGUCCCACUGGCACCCCGGACCUCCAGGUUCUGACCCACAGAGUGAAGCUUCUAGAGCACAGCCUGAGAGACAACGUCAGCUCCUUCACUGAGUCUGAGAGCGCUCUGCACAACAGGAUUAGAGAGUUGGAGGUGUCAGAACAGAGCCUGCUACAGAAGGUGGAGGACCUUACUGCCAACUCAGUCCUCCACUGCCCCAGCAUGCUGCAGCGCCAGAGGCUGGACGAGCGGCUCCACACGCUGAGGGAGGAGGUACGCUCCAUGUCCCAGGAGAAGGAGCGUGGGGAUCGUGUGUGGAGGGAGAGGCUGCGGCGCUGCCAGGCCCAGCUCAGGGCUAAAGAAGAGGAGAUGGGCCGCCAGUCUCAGUACUUUGAGCACUUUAAGAGCCAGCUUCACCACAAGCUAGACAUGGCCAGAGACAAGGAGCAGGGCCUUCAAACCAGACUCCACCAGCUGGAGCGACAGGUGCUGGAGAUGAACGUAUCUGCUGCCACCUACAUAGCCCCUGUCAACACAGCUAGCACCAACUCCGUUACUGCAGCCAAUGUCAAUCCCAUCAUAGUACCAACCUCAGGCCAACAGAGAACAGAGACAGAGAGACUGCCCCACCCAAGGGAGGAAGGACAAGGAGAGGAGGAGGACGGUGAGGAGAAGACACAGCGGAGACACUACGGACAACAGCUCCAGCAGAAGCAGGGAGCGGAUGAUAGAGAAAUAGAGGGAGAAAGAGAGGGGGAGGAAGAGGGUGAGAGUCUGGGGGGUGAGGCUAGACUGAGAAGCUUCAUCCUCAGCCUCCAGGAGGACCUCCGGGUUCUGCUGGAGAGGGAGGAGCAGGAGCUGGCGGAGCAGAGGGGGCUGAUGGAACAGCUGCAGGAAGCGCAGGAGAACAACCACUUCUUGUCCUGUACGUUGGAGGAGAUGAGGACGGUGGUCCACAGACUGAAGCUGACAGAGAGCUCCCUGAUGGAGGAGGUGGAGGAGCUGCAAGAGGAGAACCAGAGACUGUGUCAGAGGCUCAGCCACACCCUGAGACAGACCAACCACAGCCUGGGUUCUACUGACCCCAACCCUGUCGCUACCCCCAGCCUGGCUACCUCCCUGACAAACGCCCCUGGCCUGAGUCCGCAGAGCAGGGAACUGGUUGACAACACUGACCUGGUGAAGAUGAUCCCAGGCCAGUCUUCACUAGACACACCUCACUCUGCUCAACACCAUGGAGCAACAGAGAGGUCACAGGAAAACUCCACUCUGCCUCUGCCCCAGCCGGACCUCCUGAACCUCUCAGGCCACCGUAGCCAGAACCCCUGCCUCAUAUCCCUGGGUACUAAGAGCAUUGAGGGUCUGGGGGAGUUGACCCUGAGGGACUGGUGUCCUGGUCCUGGGGGCGUCCCCUCUCUCAACCUGGAGGAGGGGACAAGCGAGGAGACUGAGGCCCUGAGAGAGGCUUACAGGAGCAUGGGGGGCGACAUGGACUCACUCCGGGACCACAGGGACCAGCUGGAGAGCACGCUACGACACACACAGGACCAGCUGCACAGGGUGACCGAGGAGAACGCCCGACUGAAAUGUAAACUCAGGGCGCAGGGAGAAACAGGGGCCUGCGAGGUGGAGCAGGGGUCCUCGCUUGUAGGCGAGAGCAUGACAAAUGUCCAGGAAAACAAGGUGCCAACUCCAAACCUAAUACCCCAGGGGAGCAGAGAGCUCACUGCAACUCCAUAUCAGAAUGAUACUAUCCUAGCCUUAGCCCAGGAUGACCUGUCCCUGUAUGCCUUAGCCCAGGAUGACCUAGCCCUAGCCUUGAACCAGGAGAACCGGGCCCUGGGCAGGCGUAUCCAGGAGCUCCUAGCCCACAUAGAGCGCCAGGAGGGGGAGAGUGAGAGGGAGCUAGUCCAGCUCAGGCUGCAGGUGUCCCUGCUAGAGAGGGAGAGCACCAGGCUGGAGCAAGAGAACCAGGAGCAGGGAGGUCUCAUCACUGAACUGACCAGGAAGACUGAGGAUGACCUCAACACUAUCAUAGAGCUGCAGGAAAGACGGGUUGAGAGCAGUCAGCUAGGCCUACAGCAGGAGGACCGUUUGACCACGGAGUCAACGUGCAGGCUUCGAGAGAACAGGGACGAGCUGAUUGUCUAUCUCAGUGAUCUCAAAGAGGAAAGAGAACAGGUGUCCCUCUCACUUAGCAGUCAGACAGAGGAGAAACACCAGCUAACACGCUCCAUGUGGGUUCUGAAAGAAGAACGCGACCAGAUCCAUAAGUCACUCUGCGGUUUAAAAGAAGAGAAAGAACAGCUGACAAGGUCCCUCUGUGGUCUGAAAGAUGAGAGAGACAAGGUGAUGCGGUCAAUGUGUGGUUUAAAAGAGGGGAGAGACCAGCUAGUUCAGUCAAUGUCUGGACUCCAGGAGGAGAGAGACCAGCCAGUUCAGUCAAUGUCUGGACUCCAGGAGGAUAGAGACCAGCCAGUUCAGUCAAUGUCUGGACUCCAGGAGGAGAGAGACCAGCCAGUUCAGUCAAUGUCUGGACUCCAGGAGGAUAGAGACCAGCCAGUUCAGUCAAUGUCUGGACUCCAGGAGGAGAGAGACCAGCCAGUUCAGUCAAUGUCUGGACUCCAGGAGGAGAGAGACCAGCUAGUUCAGUCAAUGUCUGGACUCCAGGAGGAGAGAGACCAGCUAGUUCAGUCAAUGUCUGGACUCCAGGAGGAGAGAGACCAGCUAGUUCAGUCAAUGUCUGGACUCCAGGAGGAGAGAGACCAGCUAGUUCAGUCAAUGUCUGGACUCCAAGAGGAGAGACACCAGCCAGUUCAGUCAAUGUCUGGACUACAGGAGGAGAGAGACCAGCCAGUUCAGUCAAUGUCUGGACUCCAGGAGGAGAGAGACCAGCCAGUUCAGUCAAUGUCUGGACUACAGGAGGAGAGAGACCAGCUAGUUCAGUUAAUGUCUGGACUCCAGGAGGAGAGAGACCAGCUAGUUCAGUCAAUGUCUGGACUCCAGGAGGAGAGAGACCAGCUAGUUCAGUCAAUGUCUGGACUCCAGGAGGAGAGAGACCAGCUAGUUCAGUCAAUGUCUGGACUCCAGGAGGAGAGAGACCAGCUAGUUCAGUCAAUGUCUGGACUCCAGGAGGAGAGAGACAAGCUCUCGCAGUCAAUGUCUGGACUCCAGGAGGAGAGAGACCAGCUAGUUCAGUCAAUGUCUGGACUCCAGGAGGAGAGAGACCAGCUAGUUCAGUCAAUGUCUGGACUCCAGGAGGCGAGAGACCAGCUAGUUCAGUCAAUGUCUGGACUACAGGAGGAGAGAGACCAGCUAGUUCAGUCAAUGUCUGGACUCCAGGAGGAGAGAGACCAGCUAGUUCAGUCAAUGUCUGGACUCCAGGAGGAGAGAGACAAGCUCUCGCAGUCUCUCUUCAGCCAAAAAGAUGAGAGAGACCAGUUGAUGCAGUCAAUGUGUGGUUUAAAGGGACAGAGGGACCAGCUAACACAGACACUCAGCCGUCUAGAGCAGGAGAGAGACAAGCUGUCAUCUCUCAGUCUUCAAACACGAGAGAGGUACCAGGUGGACCAGUUUGUCUCUGAUCUAAAAGAAGAGAAGGAGCAGCUAGUUCAGUCAAUGGAUGUUCUGAGAGAACAGAGAGAACAGCUCACAGAGGAGAGAGACCAGUUGCAGAUGGACGUCGCUACUCUACGGAAUCAGCUGCUGUUACAGGGGUGGAGCCACAACCAGCAGCCCUCAGAGAACCAUGUUGGCAAGGCAACACGCACAGAGGUUGUGGCUACAGAGAGAGGGGGUCAGAUGCCAAAAACGCAUGAUGAUGGUGAUGUCACUCAUAGAUGCCUGGCCACGGUCUACUCCUACAAGACCAUCCGUCUGGCGCAGUCUGCACAGGACCAUUUGGGAGAGAAAGAGGGAACAGAUGUGGAGCAGAGUGGACUGAUGAGGGAGAUCGAGUCGCUGGGGUUAGAACUCAGAAGCUCACGAGAGGUACUGAAGAAGACCCAAUCAGAGGCUCAAAGGUGGUACCGUGAGCUGGGUGUGUCUGAGGUCAGACGAGAGGAGGCUGAGAAGAGGGCGGGAAAGGCAGCCAAUGAGGUGAAGAGGGCGGUACAGGCAGCAAAUGAGGUGAAGAGGGCGGUACAGGCAGCCAAUGAGGUGGGGAUGAGAGAGGAAACCAAGGAGGUGGAGGAGAUGAAGAGGGAAAACCACACACUGAGAGCAGAGUUGGGAGAGGUGAAGAGCAGACUAGUGGGUCUGGAGAGAGAGAAGACCGAUGCUCACUCACUAAGGAUCAAGAUCGAAGAGAAGUUCAGCUUGCUUCAGGCUGAACUCAAAGCCAAGAGUGUUGCUCUGAAGGAGCUGAGUUCAGAGUACACAUCUCUGAAGAGAGAGCAGGGCAGCAGAGAGGACUGGAGCAACACACUCACCUUACUGAGGGUGCGCUAUGAUGACAUCAGAGCUAAGUACAACGUUCUCCUGAGAAAGAGUCAGACGGACCAGGACAUAGCUCCUCUAAAGGCCAAGCUGUCAUGUCUCGUGGGGAAGUGCCAGCAGAGGAACAGUCUACUGGUGCAGUUGAUGCGAGCCCUGCGUCGGUAUGGCUGCCUGGACUACAAUCUGACCCAGGAGGCUGAGGACCUGCUUAACGACACAGCGCUGCAGGACUACGCCAGCACCUUCACACCCCCAUCCGCUGCAGCUCUGCAGGAGAACACCCCCCUUCUCCCACCUGCAGCCUCAGAACGACCGGAGCGCUCACAGACCUCUGCUGCAGCCUCCACAGCACAGGAGCUGAGUAAAGCUGUGUCUGAAGGCAGUAGGAGGGAACACUUCAGAGUGUGUGUGGCCACAGCAGACUACUGCCCCUCUCCGAACAUGCCUCACACUCUACUGCCAAUGCUUCCCCUUUCUGCGGGUGAAUCAGUCCAAGUCACUGGACUCCCAGACAGACGUGGGAUGUACCAUGCCGAGGUGAAAGGGAAGUCUGGCCUGGUCCCUGCCCGUUUCUUAGAGGAGAAUGGGAGACCACUCAUCCUGACUUCCCCCUCGCCAGAGAGAUGUGCCAGUCUGACUAGGAAGCUGACCAGUCCAGGGAAGAUCAUCAACCUUCACCAGCAGUUGCAGAACACUCUCUCCAACAGCUACCAGGUUUUCCCUUCCAAGACCAGCCCCCAGGUUUACUCCAGUCCCCCUUCAGGACAGGGGUACUCCCCAGGAUACCCCAACCACAACCUUGCUUUUCCCAACCGACCCAAGCAUACCCUUGUAGCAACUACCCCUAUUAUUACUACUACUAGUCUCCUAUCUACCACUGCCCCCACUAAAACUACCAGUGAUGGUGCUACCUCUCCUAAGCAGACACCAAACAGAGCACAUCCAACUACCAACCCCCCUGUCCACACCACCACCACCACCACUACUGCCCUUAGCAGUGGUAAAGAACCCCUCUCUAAAACUGGCUCUAUUGCUGCUACCUCCAAUGUUACAACCCCUGUUAAUACCCCUCCUACCGCUGUGGCCCAGACUGUUAAAGCACAAACUACCACUGCCUUGUGGAACACUGCCCCCACCAAAUCUGCCCCUCCAACUAUUACCGCUGGAACUACAGCCCCCACCAAAAUGGCCCCUAUCACUACUGCUCUUUCCCUUGCUGAGUUGUCACGACUGCCUGAUGAGGACCAUUGCAUCAAGAAGCCCCUCGCCAUCCUCCAACCUGAACAAGCUAAGCCAACCAAACCCAGAGCUAUACCAGAACCUCCAGCUGAGGUGGGCUCUGUUGAGGUCCUCAGGACUGUGGGACAGAGCAGCCUCAUGAUUGGUUGGGAGAGACCGCCACUGGAUGAGCUGGGCUGCAGCAACGGAACCUUUGUGUAUGGAUACAUGAUCUAUGUAGAAGGGGAGUUCCACAAGUCUGUCAUGAGCUCUGCAUGCACGAAGUGUAUUCUGGAGAAUCUGGAUCUGUCCGGUCCGGUCCACAUCAGUGUUCAGACCCUGGGCUCCAACGGUCUCUAUGCGGAGAAGGUCCUCCUCAUCUACAGGGGAAAACACACCCAGUUUAGGACAGAUCACACCCGUGUCAACACAGCUUCUGCUGCUCCCUUCACAGACCCUGCCUACCUAGACUGCAGGACUCCGCCCACACACCGACACAGUGGCUCCACCCAACCAUUUGUGGCCAUCUACAACUACAACCCUCUGAAGGACAGUCCUAACCUCCACCCCAGCAGAGAGCUGGCCCUGAGAGAGGGAGACACCGUCAUGCUGCUAGGCAACCCACGCAACGACGGCUUCUGUCAGGCCGAGGUGAAUGGCAGACGAGGUCUGGCUCCUGUGGCGUUACUAGAGGAAGUUCCUGUUCCAGACAGACAUGUAAGCUCCGCCCCUCCCCAAUCUUCUCCUGAGAGAGGACCAGAUGAUAGGCCACUGCGCCUGCCAAUCAGAGAGAGAACAAGAUGGGCCGCUGUGACUGUCAAUCAGUGAGAAAUCAAGAUGAUGGGCCACUGUAGCUGCCAAUCAAAGAAUGCUUACCCACAGAGAGAGAUUAUAGUGGCCAGAGUUAAUGACAUAAUCAAACACUGCCUGCCUGUGACACAAACGUUCAUAAGUGCUCGCUGCCUAAAGUCAUUUGAAAUGGAAGGCUACAGUAGAGCACCAGCCAAAUGUGGGAAGUUAUGUGGCCCAGUUUUACAUUGUGCUUCGAUAGACAGUUCCUUAUAACCUACAUAAUACUCACUGAGAUUGUGUCUAAUCACCUCUAACUGUCACCUCUAUCAAAAUUCUCUCUAUUCACCUCUAUCAAAAUCCCCAGUGUUCUGUGUGUGUAAUCUCUCGUGGACAGACGCACGUAACAUAGCUGGUAUUGUAGUGUCUGUCAACAGACAGUGGGAUGCAACGACUAUCAAGGAACUGAAAACAUGAAACAUCACUGAUCAUUUUGGACAAAUCACAAUUUCGCAUAUUUCGGAAGGGGAGGGGACAUUUGGCCCAUAGACUUGCCUGUAACUUGCAAAGGGGGGUGGAGCUACUGUCCUGCUUCCACUGCUUGCUCUAGUCUCUUUUCAAACACAUCUUCCCCCAGAAAAUAAUUCAGUAUCUAACGCAAUUACGCAAGAUUGUAAUUCUGGAUUUCCAAGAUUAUUCUGUAUGUGACAAAAAGAUGUCAAAAAGGUCAAAGGUCGGCCUAAUGGAUCUGACAACCUGUCUGACAACCUGUCUGAUAUCAAGUGCGUUCAUGGUAAUAAAGCUAUGCCAUUUUACUGGAUCUUUUUUCAAGCCAAAUAGGAAAAAAGGAGGUCCAUACCAAAGACUUGGAUAUUUCAGUUCUUUGUCGUUAUACACUGAACAAAAAUAUAAAUGCAAAAUGUAAAGUGUUGGUCCCAUGUUUCAUGAGUUGAAAUGAAAGAUCUCGGAAAUGUACCAUUCACAUAAAAAAUCAUAUUUCUCUCUAAUUUGGUGCACAAAUUUGUUUUACAUCCCUGUUUGUGAGCAUUUCUCUUUUGGCAAGAUAAUCCAUCCACCUGACAGGUGUGGCAUAUCAAGAAGAUGAUUAAACAGCAUGGUCAUUACACAGGUGCACCUUGUGCUAGGGACAAUAAAAGGCCACACUAAAAUGUGCAGUUUUGUCACACAACGCAAUGCCACAGAUGUCUCAAAUUUUGAGGGAGCACGCAAUUGGCCUGCUGACUGCAGGAAUGUCCACCAGAGCUGUUUCCAGAGAAUUCAAUGUUAAUUUCUCUACCAUAAGCUGCCUCCAACAUUGUUUUAGAGAAAUUGGCAGUACGUCUAACCGGCCUCACAACCGCAGACCAUGUGUAACCACGCCAGCCCAAGACCUCCACAUCUGGCUUCUACACCUGCAGUAUCAUCUGAGACCAGCCACCCGGACAGCUGAUGAAAGUGUGGGCAUGCACAUCCAAAGACUUUCUGCACAAACUGUCAGAAACCGUCUCGGAAGCUCAUCCGCAUGCUCAUCGUCCCCACCAGAGUCUUGACCUGACAGCAGUUCGGUGUUGUAACAGACUUCAGUGUGCAAAAGCUCACCUUCGAUGGCCACUGGCAUACUGGAGAACUGUGCUCUUCCCGGAUCCCGGUUUCAACUGUACAAGGCAGAUGGCAGAAAGUGUGUAUGGCGUUAUGUGGGCGUGCGGAUGGCUGAUGUCAAUGUUGGGGGGUUAUGGUAUGGCGGUGGGAUUAUGGUAUGGGCAGGUGGCAGUGGUGUUAUAGUAUGGGCAGGCAUAAGCUACGGACAACAAACACAAGUGCAUUUUAUCUAUGGCAGUUUGCAUGCACAGAGAUACCGUGACGAGAUUCUGAUGCCCAUUGUUGUGCCAUUCAUCCACCGCCAUCACCUCAUGUUUCAGCAUGAUAAUGCACAGCCCCAUGUCGCAAGGAUCUGUACACAAUUCCUGGAAGCUGGAAAUGUCCCAGUUCUUCCAUGACCUGCAUAUUUACCAGAGAUGUCACCCAUGGAGCAUGUUUGGGAUGCUCUGGAUUGACGUGCACGACAGUGUGUUCCAGUUCUCGCCAAUAUCCAGCAACUUUGCACAGCCAUUGAAGAGGAGUGGGACAACAUUUCACAGGCCACAAUCAACAGCCUGAUCAACUCUAUGCGAAGGAGAUGUGUCACGCUGCAUGAGCCAAAUGGUGGUCACACUAGAUACUGACUGGUUUCCUGAUCUACUCCCCUACUUUCUUAAAGGUAUCUGUGACCAACAGAUGCAUAUCUGUAUUCCCAGUCAUGUAAAAUAAAUAGAUUAGGGCCUAAUUAAUUUAUUUCAAUUGACUGAUUUCCUUAUAUGAACUGUAACUGUAAAAUCAUAGAAAUUGUUGCGUGCUGCAUUUAUAUUUUUGUUUAGUGUAUUUACAAAAGCCAAUCAUGGUUGAUCAUGGUUGUUCAUCGAAUCAUGAAUUUGAUUGAAGUCUGAGAUGUUCUACUGUAGAAUCUAAUCACUCGAUGAAGUCAUGUCAUUCAGAUGGAUAGAAGUUUAUCACGGAGAUAUAUUUUUUGAGAGGAUUAAAGAACUGGAGGUAUGCCAUUGGGAUGAACAGUACUGUAUGUGUGGCUGUGGGUAUCAGUCUCCUUUCAUUUCCUCAGUCUCUGUCUACAGUCUAAAUGAAGUUAAUAACCUUUUACUUUUCUGUUCUGAUCUGAAAUAGAGACAAUACAUUCUGUGUGAGACACAUGACUACUGCAUACUUGUCCUUCCUCUGAUUGUGGGAAAAGCCAUGGGGCCACAAAUGUAUUUUUGUAUCACUCUGUGCAUUUGAUGUAAUUUGAUUUCCUAAUGAUUUCUUUAGACUGUAUUAAGAGAAUAAAUGUUUAGAUGACAUCAGAUAUAGUAGUAUGUCCUGUAUUUUCCGGAUUAUACUGCGGUGUACAAUCUUGAUUUUACGGCUAGAGGGCAGUCAUUGCAAACUUUCCAACAUGCUACUCUCAAUAGCCAAAUAAAUCUAUGGGUAUAUGUGUUUUUAUCUCCUCUCCUCUCUGUUUAGGGACUAUUGAGCAACUCUCUUCCCCCCCAUGGGAUGCAGAUAAUUGUAUAUCAAAACUCCCACUGUGUGUUGCGUACAAACACUUACAGUGAGGGGGAAAAGUAUUUGAUCCCCUGCUGAUUUUGUACGUUUGCCCACUGACAAAGAAAUGAUCAGUGUAUAAUUUGAAUGGUAGGUUUAUUUGAAC